rnacentral:lncRNA from 1 species
GAAUUGAAAAGAUGUAAAACACUUAAUUUCACAGUUAUUAUUUAUUAGAAAUUGGCAGAAGCUACUCUUAUUUCGCAAGACUACAGUGAUUAGAUAGUUUAAUGCAUCACUAAGUGGUGUCUCGAAGUGUCUCAUCGCAGUAUCAUUAUGCGUAGGCCUGAGGAUUUGCGACGACGUAGGCUUCCACAGCCUUGUAAACUGCUGCAGCCUUUUCCUUGCCUUCCUUAAUUUCCUCUUCCUUUAUUUCAGCACCUGGUUUUGGGAAAUACUUGCUUACAAAUGUACCUUUGCAUCCUCCUUCAG